rnacentral:rRNA from 1 species
GUGAAGCGGCAACAGCUCAAAUUUGAAAUCUGGCACUUGUGUCCGAGUUGUAAUUUGUAGAGGAUGAUUUUGGUGCGGUAUCUUCCGAGUUCCUUGGAACAGGACGCCUUAGAGGGUGAGAGCCCCGUACGGUUGAAUGCCUAGCCUCUGUAAAUCUCCUUCGACGAGUCGAGUAGUUUGGGAAUGCUGCUCUAAAUGGGAGGUAAAUUUCUUCUAAAGCUAAAUACUGGCCAGAGACCGAUAGCGCACAAGUAGAGUGAUCGAAAGAUGAAAAGCACUUUGAAAAGAGGGUUAAAUAGCACGUGAAAUUGUUGAAAGGGAAGGAUUUAUGACCAGACUUUUUCUAGGCGAAUCAUCCGGUGUUCUCACCGGUGCACUUCGUCUGGUUUAGGCCAGCAUCGAUUUUUGGGGCUGGAUAAAAGCUUUGGGAAUGUGGCUCCCUCGGGAGUGUUAUAGCCCAUUGUAUAAUACAGCUUCGGGGAUCGAGGUACGCGCUUCUGCAAGGAUGCUGGCGUAAUGGUUAUCAAUCACCCGUCUUGAAACACGGACCAAGGAGUCGAACAUUUGUGCAAGUGUUUGGGUGUUAAACCCUCACGCGUAAUGAAAGUGAACGGAGGUGAGAGCCCUUACGGGUGCAUCAUCGACCGAUCCUGAUGUUUUCGGAUGGAUUUGAGUAAGAGCAUAACUGUUCGGACCCGAAAGAUGGUGAACUAUGCGUGGAUAGGGUGAAGCCAGAGGAAACUCUGGUGGAGGCUCGCAGCGGUUUCUGACGUGCAAAUCGAUCGUCAAAUCUGCGCAUGGGGGCGAAAGACUAAUCGA